AGGACCGGUGGGGGGCACAAACAAGGGAAGGAGCGAAGGGAACCCUCCCUUUUGUACAUGCAUGCCAUGUUUCUACUCAUGUGUGCACACAUAGGGGGAAGCAUUUUAUUCCUUCCCAGUCUACUGUCUUCAUAGCCACACAGCUAGCAGCAUGAACUCUAAAUGCAAAGCUGGCCUGCCUUGCUUUCUGUUGCUUAAAUUUCCCCCAGCUUUCCUCUCAUGGUAAAAUCCCAAACCAAGAAGGUUUCCCCCUCCCCCACCUCUCAUCUCACCUUCUGCUACUCCUGAACCUUCCAUGACACUCCAUUGCUGUGGUCUCCAUGGUUACAGACCUUUUUUAUCCAGUUAUAGAUACCUUUCUUUGGGGAAAGGACCUUGUCCUGUUGCUCUGUCUCUCGAGUGCUUAGCUAAGUGUCUG
rnacentral:lncRNA from 1 species